ACGUAGGUAACCUGCCCCGGAGCGGGGGAGUAACAUUUGGAAACAGAUGCUAAUACCGCAUAACAACAAAAGCCACAUGGCUUUUGUUUGAAAGAUGGCUUUGGCUAUCACUCUGGGAUGGACCUGCGGUGCAUUAGCUAGUUGGUAAGGUAACGGCUUACCAAGGCGAUGAUGCAUAGCCGAGUUGAGAGACUGAUCGGCCACAAUGGAACUGAGACACGGUCCAUACUCCUACGGAAGGCAGCAG
rnacentral:rRNA from 1 species